GGGCCAUAGCUCAGUGGCAGAGCAUCUGCUUUGCGUGCAGAAGGUUCCAGGUUCAAUCCCCAGCAUCUCCA
rnacentral:tRNA from 1 species